CCGAGACACGGUCAUGCAAAUAGAAGCAUCAAAACUAACAAAAUGUGACCAAGAUGGAGGCUAUCCCUUCUAUAGCAUGGAAUGAACAAAUAGGACUCACAUACGUAUGAAGGAGGCAUUAUCACAAGCUCUCAUCCUCCUGGGGGACUUCAACCGCCCUGACAUCUGUUGAAAAGUGGAAUGGCAAAAUGUAGGCAAUCCAGAAGGCUCUUGGAAUUCAUCAUGGAUAACUUCUCAAUGCAGGACUGUUUGAUAACUAUGCAGCAUUGGCAGGUGCUCCGCUCACUGCAUUUGGAACAAGCACAAACUGAGCUGCAGCUGCACUUUGCAGGAUCAAACCCAUCAAUUUGCUCAGAGAAUUCCUUGCUUUGCCGCAAAAACGGUUUGUGAAUGAAAAUAACCCCAGGGCUUGGUUUCUAUGGUUACUUCUGCACUAGAGAAACAGCAACCCUCUCACUUAUUUAUUCCUCAUUAAAAUAUUGUUUGAAUAACCCAGGUGCUCUCCGUUUGGGCACCAUUUUAUACAUCUUACUUAAUUUUGCUGUUCUUAAUUUUAGAUAUGUACUGCUAAGUACUGUUCUAGAUUUUGCAAAAGGUAAAGGCUUUGUAAGAGAGCUGAUCUCUUUAGAGUGGUAAAAGAACUGCAACACAUCCUAACAUGACUGAUAGAAAAUUAAGACAUUAACCUACCUUAAUCAUGCAAAUUCCUCUUUAGCUAGAGAACUAAAAACUCCAGAAAUCAUUUCAUUUAAUCUCAAGAUUCAGUUUUCCAGCACAUUUUCUGGAAGUACCUGUGAGACCUAUUGGGAAUGUUACGACAGUCAGCAAGUGAGAUCAAUCCUCUUUCACCUGAGUAUCUCUGCUUUUUAAUUGUUUGUCAGUAAGUUGGCAAGACACCAGCUUUGAGAUGUCAUGAGAUUUUCACUGAAAACAUUUUGAUGUACAGAUCUUUCUAGGGUGUUCUUAGUGCAUACCAACACUACACUGGUUUCUGCAGACUGCACAGUUUGUUAGGCUGCAGUUUGAUUUUAGUGAUAAACUGCCCGAUGAAGUGAAUCACAGCUGUUCAUUAUAGGUAGAAGCUACCUCUCGGCCAAAGUGUUAGAUGAAGGGUAAAUUGCAGUUCACUGGAGAACUGAAGUGAAAUAUAAAACAAUUUAUUUUUAGAAAACAAAAUCAAUGAAAAUUGCCAUUUCAAUGACAAAAUCAUCUUAUGAUCAAUCUUUAGAAUACUAAGCAUAAUUCAUGCAGUUAUUUAAACAGGCAUGAUUUACUUUCAAGAACUAACAAAAUGAGAAUGUGAAAGAGCUCUAAGAACUGCUCAGAGCUUCCAUAUUUGUUAUGAGCUAGUUUUCACAUCAAGACAGAGAAAAAAAUACAUCCAUUCCUUCUAAUGGAACUUAAUUUCUUGUAUAACUGGACUGGCAGCCAUUUAUCUGGCAGCUGGGAUGAUGCUGAAAAGAAAUAAUGUAAUGCAAGAGAAUUUAUCAGCUACCUACAGGCAUAGUGAAAACCUCACCUACUGUUAAAUUGGCAUAUCUUCAUUUCUUUCUGAGGACCUUCAUAACUGUAUACCAUAUGCAGAUCAACCUCCAUCCAUGUUGUU